GCCUUCGUGGUGUAGUGGUCAGCAUGCUCGACGCGUAACCGAGAGGUCCGUGGUUCGAUUCCUGGCGAAGGCG
rnacentral:tRNA from 1 species